rnacentral:rRNA from 1 species
AGAACGAACGCUGGCGGCAUGCCUAACACAUGCAAGUCGAACGUGAUCCAUGACUUCGGUUGUGGUGAAAGUGGCAAACGGGUGAGUAACGCGUGGGAACCUGCCCAGAGGUAGGGAAUAACUGCGGGAAACUGCGGCUAAUACCCUAUGUGCCCUGAGGGGCAAAGAUUUAUCGCCUUUGGAGGGGCCCGCGUCGGAUUAGGUAGUUGGUGGGGUAACGGCCUACCAAGCCAUCGAUCCGUAGCUGGUCUGAGAGGAUGAUCAGCCACACUGGGACUGAGAUACGGCCCAGACUCCUACGGGAGGCAGCAGUGGGGAAUCUUGCGCAAUGGGCGAAAGCCUGACGCAGCAACGCCGCGUGAGGGAUGGAAGGCCUUCGGGUUGUAAACCUCUUUCAAGCAGGGACGAUAAUGACGGUACCUGCAGAAGAGCUCGGCCAACUACGUGCCAGCAGCCGC